rnacentral:rRNA from 1 species
ACGGAAGGCAGCAGUGAGGAAUAUUGGUCAAUGGGCGUAAGCCUGAACCAGCCAUGCCGCGUGCAGGAUGACGGCCUUAUGGGUUGUAAACUGCUUUUGCAAGGGGAUAAAGUGGGGCAUGUAUGCACCUUUGCAGGUACCUUGCGAAUAAGGAUCGGCUAACUCCGUGCCAGCAGCCGCGGUAAUACGGAGGAUCCGAGCGUUAUCCGGAUUUAUUGGGUUUAAAGGGUGCGUAGGCGGGUUGUUAAGUCAGCGGUGAAACCCCCGGGCUCAACCCGGGGACUGCCAUUGAAACUGGCGGCCUUGAGUGCGUUGGGAGUGCGCGGAAUGUGCGGUGUAGCGGUGAAAUGCAUAGAUAUCACACAGAACACCGAUCGCGUAGGCAGCGCACUACGCCGCAACUGACGCUGAGGCACGAAGGCGCGGGGAUCGAACAGGAUUAGAUACCCUGGUA